rnacentral:rRNA from 1 species
UACGUAGGGACCAAGCGUUGUUCGGAUUUACUGGGCGUAAAGGGCGCGUAGGCGGCUUAACAAGUCACUUGUGAAAUCUCCGGGCUUAACUCGGAACGGCCAAGGUGAAACUGUCAAGCUAGAGUGUGGAAGGGGCAAUCGGAAUUCUUGGUGUAGCGGUGAAAUGCGUAGAUAUCAAGAGGAACACCUGCGGCGAGGGCGGGUUGCUGGGCCGACACUGACGCUGAGGCGCGAAAGCUAGGGGAGCGAACGGG